AGGAGAGUUUGAUCCUGGCUCAGGAUGAACGCUAGCGGCAGGCUUAACACAUGCAAGUCGAGGGGCAGCGCGUCGUAGCAAUACGAUGGCGGCGACCGGCGAAAGGGUGAGUAACGCGUGAGCAACGUGCCCGUAUGUGGGGGAUAGUCGAUGGAAACGUCGCGUAAUACCCCGUAACAUGAGGAACCGCAUGAUUUCUCAUUGAAAGAUUUAUUGCAUACGGAUCGGCUCGCGUGCCAUUAGGUAGACGGCGGGGUAACGGCCCACCGUGCCGACGAUGGCUAGGGGUUCUGAGAGGAAGGUCCCCCACAUUGGAACUGAGACACGGUCCAGACUCCUACGGGAGGCAGCAGUGAGGAAUAUUGGACAAUGGCCGGAAGGCUGAUCCAGCCAUGCCGCGUGCGGGAGGACGGCCCUAUGGGUUGUAAACCGCUUUUGCGAGGGAGCAAUAAGGUCUACGUGUAGGCUGAUGAGAGUACCUUACGAAUAAGCAUCGGCUAACUCCGUGCCAGCAGCCGCGGUAAUACGGAGGAUGCAAGCGUUAUCCGGAUUUAUUGGGUUUAAAGGGUGCGUAGGCGGCUUGGUAAGCGGGAGGUGAAAUGCCGGCGCUCAACGUCGGAAGUGCCUCCCGAACUGUCGGGCUUGAAUAGUACUGCCGUGGGAGGAAUGUGUGGUGUAGCGGUGAAAUGCUUAGAGAUCACACAGAACACCGAUUGCGAAGGCAUCUCACGAAGUACCGAUUGACGCUGAGGCACGAAAGCGUGGGGAUCAAACAGGAUUAGAUACCCUGGUAGUCCCCU
rnacentral:rRNA from 1 species